rnacentral:pre_miRNA from 1 species
UCGAACGGACGAGCAAAGGAAGUGGUUUCUUGAGAUGGAAUCUACUCCUGGUGGAGACGCUGCGAA